rnacentral:rRNA from 1 species
CCUACGCGAGGCAGCAGUGAGGAAUAUUGGUCAAUGGGCGCAAGCCUGAACCAGCCAAGUCGCGUGAGGGAUGACGGUCCUAUGGAUUGUAAACCUCUUUUGUCGGGGAGCAAGGCCCGCCACGUGUGGCGGGAAGGAGAGGACCCGUAGAAAAAGCACCGGCAAACUCUGCGCCAGCAGCCGCGGUAAUACGGGGGAUGCGAGGUUUAUCCGGUUUUAGUGGGUUUAAAGGGUGCGUAGGCGGAAGGUUAAGUCAGCGGUCAACUGUCGGUGCUCAACACCGGCCUGCCGUUGAAACUGGUCUUCUGGAGUGAGCGGGAAGUAGGCGGAAUGCGUGGUGUAGCGGUGAAAUGCAUAGAUAUCACGCAGAACUCCGAUUGCGAAGGCAGCAUACCGGCGCUCAACUGACGCUGAGGCACGAAAGCGUGGGGAUCGAACAGGAUUAGAUACCCUUGUAGUC